AUUGAACGCUGGCGGCAUGCCUAACACAUGCAAGUCGAACGGCAGCACGGCAGUAGCAAUACUGUGGGUGGCGAGUGGCGGACGGGUGAGGAAUACGUCGGAAUCUGCCCAGUCGUGGGGGAUAACUAGCCGAAAGGUUAGCUAAUACCGCAUACGACCGAGAGGUGAAAGCGGGGGACCGCAAGGCCUCGCGCGAUUGGAUGAGCCGACGUCGGAUUAGCUAGUUGGUGGGGUAAAGGCCCACCAAGGCGACGAUCCGUAGCUGGUCUGAGAGGAUGAUCAGCCACACUGGAACUGAGACACGGUCCAGACUCCUACGGGAGGCAGCAGUAGGGAAUAUUGGACAAUGGGGGCAACCCUGAUCCAGCCAUGCCGCGUGUGUGAAGAAGGCCUU
rnacentral:rRNA from 1 species